rnacentral:rRNA from 1 species
GCAAAACGCGAAGAACCUUACCAAGGCUUGACAUGCACCUCUAAGCGCGUGAAAGCGCGUGACCCUUCGGGGGAUUUGCACAGGUGCUGCAUGGCCGUCGUCAGCUCGUGUCGUGAGAUGUUGGGUUAAGUCCCGCAACGAGUGCAACCCUUGUGACUAGUUGCCAGCACGUUAUGGUGGGAACUCUAGUCAGACUGCCCAGAUCAACUGGGAGGAAGGUGGGGACGACGUCAGGUCAGUAUGGCCCUUACGCCUUGGGCUGCACACGUACUACAAUGCCCAGUACAAUGAGAACCGAGACCGCGAGGUGGAGGAAAUCUAAAAAACUGGGCCCAGUUCGGAUUGGAGGCUGCAACUCGCCUCCAUGAAGUUGGAAUCGCUAGUAAUGGCGCAUCAUCUACGGCGCCGUGAAUACGUUCCCGGGUCUUGUACACACCG